rnacentral:rRNA from 1 species
UCAGGUAGUAACAGAGUUUGAUCCUGGCUCAGAUUGAACGCUGGCGGAUGUUUACACAUGCAAGUCGAACGGCAGCACUUUGGACUUCGGUCUGGUGGCGAUAGCGAACGGGUGAGUAAUGUAUCGGAACGUGCCUAGUAGCGGGGAUAACUACGCGAAAGCGUAGCUACCACGCGCAUACGCCCUUCGGGGGAAAGCGGGGACCUUUCUUCGGGCCUCUCGCAAUCAUUAGAGCGGCCGAUAUCGGAUUAAAGAAAGCUGGUGUGCAACGGCUCACCAUGACGAUCCGUAGCUGGUUUGAGAGGAGACGACCAGCCACACUGGGACUGAGACACGGCCCAGAUUCUACGGGAGGCAGCAGUGGGGAAUUUUGACAAUGGGGAAACCCUGAUCCAGCCAUCUCGCGUGUGCGAUGAAGGCCUUCGGCUAGGUGCUAAUUUUUGGCAGGAAGAAAACGGCACGGGAUAAUACUCCGCAACUGACGGUACCUGCAGAAUAAGCACCGCCAACUACGUGCCAGCAGCCGCGGUAAAUAUGUAGGUGCAAGCGUUAAUCGGAAUUACUGGGCGCAGCGCGCAGGCGGUUCGAAAAAGAAAGAUGUGAAAUCCCAGAGCUUAACUUUUGAAACCGCAUUUUUAACUACCGAGCUAGAGUGUGUCAGAGGGAGGUGAAUUCCGCGUAGCAGUGAAAAUGCGUAGAUAUGAGGAACAAUUGAUGGCGAAGGCAGCCUCUGGGAUAACACUGACGCUCAUGCACGAAAGCGUGGGGAGCAAACAGAUUAGAUACCUCUGGUAGUCCACGCUCCUAAACGAUGUCAACUAGCUGUUGGGGCCUUCAUCUUGCAGCGCAGCUAAUGCGUGAAGUUGACCGCCUGGGAGCAUGGUCGCAGAUUAAACCCGAAGUGAAUUGACGGGGACUCUGCACAAGCGUGGAUGAUGUGGAUUAAUUCGAUGCAACGCGAAAAACUCAUCAAAUUUGACAUGUCUGGAAUCCCGAAGAGAUUUGGGAGUGCUCGCAAGUAGGAACCGGAACAGGUGCUGCAUGGCUGUCGUCAGCUCGUGUCGGGAGAUGUUGGGUUAAGUCCCGCAACGAGCGCAACCCUUGUCAUUAGUUGCUACUUAGGCACCUAACGAGACUGCCGGUGACAAACCGGGAGGAAGGUGGGGAUGACGUCAAGUCCUCAUGGCCCCUUACAGGGUAGGGCUUCACACGUCAUACAAUGGUCGGGACAGAGGGUCGCCAACCCGCGAGGGGGAGCCAAUCCCAGAAACCGAUCAGGUCCGGAUCGCAGUCUGCAACUCGACUGCGUGAAGUCGGAAUCGCUAGUAAUCGCGGAUCAGCAUGUCGCGGUGAAUACGUUCCCGGGUCUUGUACACACUGCCCGUCACACCAUGGGAGUGGGUUUUACCAGAAGUAGUUAGCCUAACCGUAAGGAGGGCGAUUACCACGGUAGGAUUCAUGACUGGGGUGAAGUCGUGAACAAGGUAA